UACGUAGGGGGCGAGCGUUGUCCGGAUUUAUUGGGCGUAAAGAGCUCGUAGGCGGCUUGGCAAGUCGGGUGUGAAACCUCCAGGCUCAACCUGGAGACGCCACUCGAUACUGCCAUGGCUAGAGUCCGGUAGGGGACCACGGAAUUCCUGGUGUAGCGGUGAAAUGCGCAGAUAUCAGGAGGAACACCGGUGGCGAAGGCGGUGGUCUGGGCCGGCACUGACGCUGAGGAGCGAAAGCGUGGGGAGCGAACAGG
rnacentral:rRNA from 1 species